rnacentral:rRNA from 1 species
UACAGAGGUCCCAAGCGUUGUUCGGAUUCACUGGGCGUAAAGGGCGCGUAGGCGGUCGGGUAAGUCUGAUGUGAAAUCUCGGAGCUCAACUUCGAAACUGCAUUGGAUACUAUUCGGCUUGAGGUCUGGAGGGGGGACUGGAAUUCCCGGUGUAGCGGUGAAAUGCGCAGAUAUCGGGAAGAACACCCAUGGCGAAGGCAGCUCUCUGGGACGGUACUGACGCUGAGACGCGAAAGCGUGGGGAGCAAACAGG